UGGGGAAUAUUGGACAAUGGGGGAAACCCUGAUCCAGCCAUGCCGCGUGUGUGAAGAAGGCCUUAUGGUUGUAAAGCACUUUAAGCGAGGAGGAGGCUACUGAGACUAAUACUCUUGGAUAGUGGACGUUACUCGCAGAAUAAGCACCGGCUAACUCUGU
rnacentral:rRNA from 1 species